rnacentral:rRNA from 1 species
GUGAGGAAUUUUCCGCAAUGGGCGAAAGCCUGACGGAGCAAUGCCGCGUGAAGGAUGAAAGCCUAUGGGUUGUAAACUUCUUUUCUCAGAAAAGAAUUAUGACGGUAUCUGAGGAAUAAGCAUCGGCUAACUCUGUGCCAGCAGCCGCGGUAAGACAGAGGAUGCAAGCGUUAUCCGGAAUGAUUGGGCGUAAAGCGUCUGUAGGUUGUUUAAAAAGUAUUCUGUCAAAGAUUAGGGCUUAACCCUAGAUAGGCAGAAUAAACUUUUAAGCUAGAGUUUGGUAGAGGCAGAGGGAAUUCCCGGUGGAGCGGUGAAAUGCGUAGAUAUCGGGAGGAACACCAAAGGCGAAGGCACUCUGCUGGGCCAAUACUAACACUGAGAGACGAAAGCGAGGGGAGCAAAUGGGAUUAGAUACCCGAGUAGUCC